rnacentral:rRNA from 1 species
UACGGAGGAUGCGAGCGUUAUCCGGAUUUAUUGGGUUUAAAGGGUGCGUAGGCGGUUUUUUAAGUUAGUGGUUAAACGUCGGGGCUUCACCUUGAUUUGCCAUUAAUACUGUAAGACUCGAGUUCAGACGAGGUAGGCGGAAUAAGUUAAGUAGCGGUGAAAUGCUUAGAUAUAACUUAGAACUCCGAUUGCGAAGGCAGCCUGCUGGACUGUAACUGACGCUGAUGCUCGAAAGUGUGGGUAUCAAACAGG